UGGGGAAUUUUGGACAAUGGGCGCAAGCCUGAUCCAGCCAUUCCGCGUGAGUGAAGAAGGCCUUCGGGUUGUAAAGCUCUUUCAGCAGGAACGAAACGGUGGGUCUUAAUACGGCCUGCUAAUGACGGUACCUGCAGAAGAAGCACCGGCUAACUACGUGCCAGCAGCCGCGGUAAUACGUAGGGUGCGAGCGUUAAUCGGAAUUACUGGGCGUAAAGCGUGCGCAGGCGGCGACAUAAGACAGAUGUGAAAUCCCCGGGCUUAACCUGGGAACUGCAUUUGUGACUGGCGGACUCGAGUAUGGCAGAGGGGGGUAGAAUUCCACGUGUAGCAGUGAAAUGCGUAGAGAUCGGGAGGAACAUCAGUGGCGAAGGCGGCCAUCUGGGACAACACUGACGCUGAAGCACGAAAGCGUGGGGAGCAAACA
rnacentral:rRNA from 1 species